rnacentral:rRNA from 1 species
GAUGAACGCUGGCGGCGUGCCUAAUACAUGCAAGUCGAGCGAACGGACGAGAAGCUUGCUUCUCUGAUGUUAGCGGCGGACGGGUGAGUAACACGUGGAUAACCUGCCUAUAAGACUGGGAUAACUUCGGGAAACCGGAGCUAAUACCGGAUGAUAUUUUGAACCGCAUGGUUCAAAAGUGAAAGACGGUCUUGCUGUCACUUAUAGAUGGAUCCGCGCUGCAUUAGCUAGUUGGUAAGGUAACGGCUUACCAAGGCAACGAUGCAUAGCCGACCUGAGAGGGUGAUCGGCCAUACUGGAACUGAGACACGGUCCAGACUCCUACGGGAGGCAGCAGUAGGGAAUCUUCCGCAAUGGGCGAAAGCCUGACGGAGCAACGCCGCGUGAGUGAUGAAGGUCUUCGGAUCGUAAAACUCUGUUAUUAGGGAAGAACAUAUGUGUAAGUAACUGUGCACAUCUUGACGGUACCUAAUCAGAAAGCCACGGCUAACUACGUG